UGGACACACACAAAACACACACUGGACACGGACAGACACACACACACACACACACCUCACAUACACACACACACACACUGAUUACACACUGAAUACACACACAUUGGACACACACACACACUGGACACACACACACUGGAAACAAACACAUACAUUGGACACACACACACACACACUCAAACACUGAACACACACACACACUGAAACACACACUGGACACAAACACACACACACACACACUCAACACAGACACACAAACUCCACACACACACACACUGGACACACACACACACACACACACUAGACACACACACACAAACACACUAGAUAAAUACACUGGACACACACACACUGGACACGCACACACACACUGGACACGUGCACACACACACUGAACACACACACACACACACUGGACACACACACACACACUCUGGACACACACACACACCACACUGAACACACACAAAACUGUACACACACACACUCACACACACACACUGGACACACACACACUGGACAAACACACACUAGACAAAUACACACACACACUGGACACACAGACACACACUGGACACACACUGGACAAACACACACUGGACAAACACACACUGGACAAACACACACUGGACAAACACACACUGGACAAACACACACUGGACAAAUACACACUGGACAAAUACACACACACUAGACAAACACACACACAAACACAGUGGACACAAACACAGUGGACACACACACACACACACACACACACACACACACACUGGACACACACACACACACACUGGACACACACACACACACACACACACACACACACACACACACACACACACACACUGAACACACACACACUCACACACUGGACUCACAGACACACACUGGACACACACACUCACACACACACACUGGUCACACACACACUGAACACACACACUCUGGACACACACACACACUGGACUCACAGACACACAUUGGACAAAUACACACACACACACACACACACUGGACAAAUACACACACACAAACACAGUGGACAAACAUAUACACACAGGACACACACUCUGGACACACACACAUUCUGGACACACACACACAUGCGCAUCUUUCUAUAGUUGUGAGGACCUCUUACAACAACACUGUUAAAAUACCAAUGUAAUCAUGUGUUGUCUUUUAUGUUGAAAAACUAAUUAUACAAUUAUAUAUAAUUAUAUAUGGACAUACGCUCCAUAGUUGUACAAGUGUACCAGUAUAUAUUGUACUUUUCAUAAUAAAACAUACUUGAAACAAGAAAAGCUUGUUAAUUGUGAAAACAGUUUGGUUAUUUGAUUUUACGUUUCCUCUGUCAGGUUGAUGUUAACCUGCGACUGGUUGAAACAUGAAACAAAUAUGAAAUGAAAUACAAAACAAUUAAAUAUGUGGAAUAGAAUUAA
ensembl:lncRNA